GAUGCACAUGAUGGGGAAAUUGCGAUCAAAGCAUGAUAUCUUGUGAUUAGUAUUUUUGGUACUGAUGCAUC